UAGAGUUUGAUCCUGGCUCAGGAUGAACGCUGGCGGCGUGUUUGAGGCAUGCAAGUCGAAAGGGUUUAGACCCUUGGCAGACGNGUGCGUAAGACAGUGGUAAUUUACCCUGAAGUUCGGGAUAACUCCGCGAAAGCGGUGAUAAUACCGGAUAGUCAAGGGGGGACGAAAGUCAUUCCCUUGUAAAGCCCCUUAAAAGGCGCUUUGGGAAAAGCCUUAGGCCCAUCAGCUAGUUGGUGAGGUAAUAGCUCACCAAGGCGAUGACGGGUAGCGGGUGUGAGAGCAUGACCCGCCUCACUGGGACUGAGACACUGCCCAGACUCCUACGGGAGGCUGCAGUCGAGAAUCUUCCCCAAUGGACGAAAGUCUGAGGGAGCGACGCCGCGUAACUGAUGAAGACCUUCGGGUUGUAAAGGUUUUUUUUCUGGGAAAAAUUCGUGAUGGUACCAGAAGAAUAAGAGGUUGCUAACUCUGUGCCAGCCGCCGCGGUAAUACA
rnacentral:rRNA from 1 species